rnacentral:lncRNA from 1 species
UUCCACCUUUGGAGGAUGUGUCCUCUACAGGAUCACGCUGCAAUCCCCUUGUUUUUGAGUUGUCUCUUCUUUUAAAUUUUUCCUUUUGAGGAGCCUCUUCAAAAAUUCUUUAUAUUCAGGGAUCUGCUGCAGGGUCUCUGUCUCAGGAAUUUCUAUCCCCAAUUCUUUGGAGAUCCCUUCAAAACAUCCUGCUUGCAUCUCUUUUGUGGUAUGUUCUUCAGGGUGGUGAACAUGUUUCUCACUGUUUUUACUUUUUUCUUCUUUUUUUCUCUCAAAUUCUUCUUUUCUUUCAAUCUCUCUUUUUUCUUCACUCCCAAUUUUGUUCUCUUUUACUUCAGGAUCACUCACUCUUUCUUUUUUCUCUUUCUUCUCUUUUUCUCUCAAUUUUUUCUUCUCUUUUCUCUCCUUUCUAAGUUUUUGAUGGCAGCAUCCGUGCUCUUCUGUGUGGACCAGGUUGCCUGCAUGAAUUGUUAGAGGGUCUCUUCAAGCUUUAUGGUUCUGCCAGACAACGAGGGUUGUUGCUGCCACUACUGCUGCUGUUGUGGUGGUAUAUUGAAUUGCCCACUAGUUUACCCAAAUUGACCCUGUCCAUUGCCUAGGUCAAAUCUCCAC